CCUACGGGCGGCUGCAGUGGGGAAUAUUGGACAAUGGGCGAAAGCCUGAUCCAGCCAUGCCGCGUGUGUGAAGAAGGCCUUCGGGUUGUAAAGCACUUUCAGUGGGGAAGAAAGCCUUGGGGCUAAUACCCUCGAGGAAGGACAUCACCCACAGAAGAAGCACCGGCUAACUCCGUGCCAGCAGCCGCGGUAAUACGGAGGGUGCGAGCGUUAAUCGGAAUUACUGGGCGUAAAGCGCGCGUAGGCGGUCUGAUAAGCCGGUUGUGAAAGCCCCGGGCUCAACCUGGGAACGGCAUCCGGAACUGUCAGGCUAGAGUGCAGGAGAGGAGGGUGGAAUUCCCGGUGUAGCGGUGAAAUGCGUAGAGAUCGGGAGGAAUACCAGUGGCGAAGGCGGCCUUCUGGACUGACACUGACGCUGAGGUGCGAAAGCGUGGGUAGCAAACAGGAUUAGAUACCCCGGUAGUC
rnacentral:rRNA from 1 species